CUGUUAUCUUCAUCAUUUUUUGUAUCAAUAUCUGGUAAUUAUCAGUCAUUUAUUUAAAGUACCAAAUUUUAGCUAUUAAGGUUCUAUUGGUUCUGAGGUAAAAUGAUAGUGCGCAUGCUUGGCGGGAAUCAUCAUUUCAAAACCACAACACGAGGCGUCAGUAUUAUAAGGGCUGGUAUAUACAAGACUGAAAGAUCAUGCCUGGUAGAGGAAAGAAACGAUCCAGGGAGUCUGAAGGCAGCACAAACGGAGAGUCAAAGAGACACAAAAUUGGACACUGUUCCCAUAGAUGCGAAGAAGGUGUGGUACUAGUUUUGGGGGAGGGAGAUGUAGGUCAGCUUGGCCUUGGUGAAGAUAUUUUAGAGCGAAGCAGACCAACCCUUCUGUCAAGCCUGGAUGAAAAAAUCAUUCAAGUUGUGUGUGGUGGAAUGCACACGGUUUGUGUAACUGCCAAAGGGGAGGUAAGUACAUU